rnacentral:SRP_RNA from 1 species
GCCCUGGUCUCGCGCAAUGAAGCCCUGUGAACCCCGUCAGGUCCGGAAGGAAGCAGCGGUAAGCGGAUCGUUUCAUGUGCCGCGAGGGCGCCUGGGAACUG